UACGUAGGGUGCAAGCAUUAUCCGGAGUGACUGGGCGUAAAGAGUUGCGUAGGUGGUUAGUAAAGUGAAUAGUGAAACCUGGUGGCUCAACCAUACAGACUAUUAUUCAAACUCACUAACUCGAGAGUGGUAGAGGUAACUGGAAUUUCUUGUGUAGGAGUGAAAUCCGUAGAUAUAAGAAGGAACACCAAUGGCGUAGGCAGGUUACUGGACCAUUUCUGACACUAAGGCACGAAAGCGUGGGGAGCGAACCGG
rnacentral:rRNA from 1 species